rnacentral:lncRNA from 1 species
CGGGAGCUUUAGUGCAGUGGGCUGCCAUUUUUUAUAGUUUUUUUAAAAGUUUGCAACUUUCUGUUGUAGAGGCUUUUGAAGUUUGGAUUUUAAGGUUCCUAUUCCUUAGUUUUACCUGAACCCAUGUGGCUCCACAACUCGCCGGGGGCCGCCUGUCGAUUUUCACCCAGAUCUGGAACGGGCCCAGGCUCACCCAUCGAAACGGGCCAAAAAGGGCCCGUUCUCGACGCUUCGCCCGUUUGACCACCAAAAUGGCCCCAGCGGUCUGGCGGUCUUAGAGUUCUGUUUCCCUUUCUAUGUAUGUAGUUCUGUUUCCCUUUCUAUGUAUGUAUGCGUAUGAGCGUUGAGCAAUCUUGUAUAAAUGGUGUUAUUUGCUUAUGGAAUCAUUGUUAUUUCUCUGUUUUCCCCGUUUCUAUUGUGCUUGUAUAAUUUUAAUUUGCUAUAUUUGGAUCGGGUUGUCGAUAGUUUUCAGAAAAGGUAGCAACUUUUUGUUGUAGGCUCUUGAAAGCUAAGUUGCUCGGACUCUUCAAAAAUGUCAUGGGUGCGGGUCGGAUCCUUCAAAAGUCUUACAUUUUCGGAGGAUCCGACACGGGUGCGGCAACAUUUUUGGAGAAUCCGAGCAACUUAAGUAUGAAGCGUGUUUGCUUCGUAAUGAUGAAUAGUAACUUCGGGCAACUUCAUUUGAACUGCAACGCCGUGUUCAUGGAGGUUGGUGCUAUGAAUCGAUUGAAAGGAAGGUAGCAUUAGCGUUGGUUUAGUGUCAUUUUGGGGCUACGUUAUUAGCUACCUUGCUUGCUUAGGAUUUGUGUGUCGGUAGAAAAUGUGGAGAAGUAACGAACGACAAAGGGUCCAAAUAGAGUGGAAUGGAUAUCAAGAGUUCAUGUAACUAACUGAUGCUAACUACAUUGAAGUCGAGCGUAGUAGUUCUUCUUGUUGCACUACUCACCUUAGCGGGACUUCCUUAUACGUGUCUAGAUAUCUUUCUCCUAUAUAGCCCGUCUUAUUAAUAUAGCUGCUGAACGUAAUAGGUUAGCUUACAGUAGUGCGGCAUACACAUAAACGUUCCUCAAAGAAGCAACAUAAUUUUUUGAGCGAAAAAACAAAACAGCAUACAUAGCCGUAACACAAAUGUAUUACUUUGGUAGCUCUUUGGUGCAAAUGUGGCGUUUGUAAAUGAUGCCGAUUUUCAUGUAAGAUACGACAGGGACGUUGCACACACUGUAACUGUAUAGUGAUGUCAUAUCAUUUAUAAAAUAUCAUUACUUAUCAAAAAGAGAUCGAUAUCCAAGUUGGGAUCUUGAGGCUAUAGAUGUUCGAUUCAUUUGGCUUAUCUUUGGCAUCAUUUACGAUAUAAGUUUGGCAGCUUCAAGAAGAUAAGUUCUCUUUAUGAUAUCGUUCUGUGGUUAAAAACGUAGCUUAAAGGUGAUUGAUGCUGGACGUGUGUGAGUUCCAGUACGCGCAAUUGAAUAAUAUGCAAUAUUGCACCAAAAUAAGNNNNN